UAAGGAAUAUUGGACAAUGGUCGCAAGACUGAUCCAGCCAUGCCGCGUGCAGGAAGACGGCCCUAUGGGUUGUAAACUGCUUUUGUACCAGAGAAAACCUAUCUACGUGUAGAUAGCUGCUAGUAUGGUAAGAAUAAGCAUCGGCUAACUUCGUGCCAGCAGCCGCGGUAAUACGAAGGAUGCAAGCGUUAUCCGGAAUUAUUGGGUUUAAAGGGUGCGUAGGCGGACUAAUAAGUCAGUGGUGAAAGCCUGCAGCUUAACUGCAGAAUUGCCAUUGAUACUGUUAGUCUUGAGUACAGUUGAGGUCGUCGGAAUGUGUCAUGUAGCGGUGAAAUGCGUAGAUAUGACACAGAACACCGAUUGCGAAGGCAGCUUGCUAAGCUGUAACUGACGCUGAGGCACGAAAGCGUGGGGA
rnacentral:rRNA from 1 species